CUCAAAUCUGUAAAAAUAAAAUAAUGUCUUGUUCUUUUCUUACAUUUUCAAUUAUAUCUUUAAUCAUUUUAAGCAAUUUUAUAGUGUGUAUUAGAUUGCAUAUUUCGGGGUCUAAUUCUAUGUGUUGUGUCUUCAGACAUUUGAUUAUGGUGUGGUGUUUUUUCAUGUGUUUUGUAAUUUUUUAUUUUAAAUUGUGUUCAGUGCAGCUUUACUUGUGGGGAUCUUGUGAGGGAUAUGUCUCUCUAGAGCUGUUUUAUGUUGCUUCUGCUUGGUAGGAAUAACAAUAGUUAUACUCUUAAGUGCGUAUACACUUUGUACUCAUUUUUUAGUGUGGAGGGUUCCUGGACAGUGUAGGAGUUAUAAAUUUUGAAUCCCAAACCCAUGUGAAAGCAGGCCUCAGAGGGAGACCCUGUUUUCUACCUUCUUACAGCCCAGGUUGUCUUCCUAUACUAGUGAAUGAAUUUUUGUCUAGUUCAACCUUAUUGAAGGUGUUGUCCUUUGAAACUCCCAACUUCCUACAGGUGUUUCAGUUCCAACCUCCUGCCUUACUUAGGCCCAAGGCUCUGUCUCCUGCCUCUACAGGCCAUCAGAACCUAAGCACGUGUGCUUGCUUCAGCAGCACAUGUACUGGAAUUAGAAUGAUGCAGAGAAGAUUAGCAUGGUCCCUGCACAAGGAUGAUGCACAAAUCCGUGAAGUAUUCCAUAUAAAAACAAAGAAGAAGAAGAAGGUGGAUCAUGGCAGACGGGAGGCAAGACUAGAUUGCAGCUCCAACUUCGAUGAACAGAGCAGCAUGUGGAGGCUCGCAUCAUGAAUUUUUGCUCCAGAACGACUGCAGGAAUAAAUCAGGAAACCCAAGAGAACCCACAGACCCUCUGAAGGAAGCAGACUGCUCUUGCAGGACCCAGGAGGCACACCAAAUACUGUGAGUGCCCAAAUUGUGGAAGUGGGAAAGGGAGAUCGUCUGCCCCUGAACACAUACCCCCACUGGGGAAACUGAAGGCCUAGGUUAUGGGAGAAGAUUCUGACCUUACCUGGAGCUGAGUCAAUUUAGAUACUGAGUGAAAUACAGGAGUAGAGGAAAGAGCGGGAAAAGCCCUGUGAGCUCACUGGGUCCCCUAGCAAACCAUUUCUGCCUGGCCUUACAGGGGUCCUUUGGUAGGGCGGCCAGAGGCACUUGGAAAAGGUCACAGGGAGAAAGAAAUCUCCAGCCGAACUUUGUAACAAUUUGAACAGAGGCUGGGCGCAGUGGCUCACGCCUGUAAUCCUAGCACUUUGGGAGGGUGAGG
rnacentral:lncRNA from 10 species